GCCAAAGGAAAAAAAUCAAAUAGUGUGUCGUAGGCGAAGCUAUGAAAGUGAAAUUUUGAGGCAAGGUGAACAGCGCCCAGAUCUACAAGAUAUCCGAUGACAGGGCAAUGCUGAACAAGAAGCUCAGUCUUGAUGACGAUUGAUUUCCAAAAUCUGGAUAAGCCCAAGAAAGUAAGAAAGAGGAGGAUGAGCAAUCGUCUAUAGUCUUCUUAAGUUUUAGAAGAGAACCAUUCAAAGGACCCUCUUGUUAAACAAGCCAUGCAGAUUCCAAAGAAUAGAAGGGAAAUGGCAAAGACAGCUUUUGAGACACCCACAGCUUUGGUCUUCAAGAUUUCCUCCUUACAGGCAAUGCCAGCUUCCUAUUGAGAGACACCUACAUCAAUGGUUACUGUAACUUCACAAUAACCUAAUUCCAGACUCCCAAGGUUUUGGCCUUAAAGGGACCCAUGCAUUCGUUCCAUGCAGCCACAGCUGCCUUUAAGUCACCCAGGCUUUCCACGGCUUCCAUCCUGGCAAACAUUGUUUCCCCUGACCAGACUCCCAGUCAGAACUUGAGGGUGACUCAAUGUCUGUGGCAGGCUGAUGAACCAGUGAUGAAUGAUUUUGGUUUCCUGCCUACCUGUCCUACAACGCCUGUCAGUGUCAAUGAAUCCUAUUGUCUAUGGUAAACAGGCCAUUGGAAACUGAACAGUUCUAAGCCAUCAAUCGCAAGGAUUAUGAAAAGCCUCCAGUGGGAAAACUUCUGAUGGUACAAACCCAAAGCUCCGGAAAUAUUGUGCAGAGGGAAACAGUUACUGUCAAUCAGGAAUCCACAGAAAUGUUAUUUCCAGACACUUCCAUGUGGACAAGCCAUGCUGGAACAAAAGAUGAGGGGUGCUUUGCACUGAUUCUGUUAAGUGCAUAAAUAAGUGUAUGACCUUGUAAAAAUUUAAAUGUGUGAAUAUGGAAAUGUGAUAUAAGAACCACAGUGUUAUUGAAUUUUUUCAAAUUGUUAUGUUCUAAAACUUUCUAGUGCUUUGUAGAUUGUUAUAUUUUAGGCAAACAAAGACAUUUAAGGCCUUGGGCCUCAAACAAAGAAACUGAAUUUUUUUUAGCGCCGUAUGCAACCAGUUGGAGUCUUUUUUCAUCAAAAACAACAUUUUGUACAAAUAUUAGAGUGGGUUUAGGGGGAGGUACUGUACCGACACAUGCCUUAUCCAUCUUACAGAUCACAUGCACAGACCUCUAGGAGUAUGUUCACGGGUAUGAUUAUGCUUGACCUCCAGAAGGCUUUCGACACCAUGGAUCAUGAUAUCAUUUGUCAAAAGCUCCUGGAGAUGGGCGUGGAGUCGAUGGAGUAGUUCCACUCAUAUUUGUCUGAUAGGACUGUCUGUUCAAGUUAAUGAUGCAAAGUCUGACUUUCGGUUGGUUGUGUGCGGUUUCUCACAGGGCAGUUAUUUUUGGGCCUUUUUUGUUCCUGGAAUAUGUAAAUGAUAUGAGCACAAGCAUGAGUUUGUUUUGCAAACUUAUUUUUUAUGCAGACGAUAGUGCCAUUUUGUUCUCUCACAAAGAUCCAUCUUAUAUCAGUCAGGUUCUAGGCAAAGAACUAGCAAAUUGUAGUAAAUUGCUUAUUGAUAACAUACUUUCUUUGCAUCUUGGGGAAAACAGAAUUAUUCUUUUUGGAUCCAAGAGAAAGUUAAGCAAAGUCCUAAAUUUUACUUAUUCAUGUCAUCACUCGCACAU